CAAAAAUUUUUAUGUCUUAGGUUAAAGAAAGACUACACUUUCCAGAUUUCUUGCAGCUUGCUGCCAUGUGGCUAAGUUUAGGCCAAUAUAAUGAAAGUGGAAGUGGUGUGUGCCACUUCUGAGCCUUGGCCUUAACAUACAACUCAGUGCUUCUCUGGUCCUUUCCUUCCGUUUUCCCCGUGGGCUGCAAUGUGGAUGUGGUAGCAGCCAGCUUCAGCUCAACAAAGACAACACCCUAGGGGCUGGUGAACAGCAGGAUGGAAAGGACUUGGGUCUCUAAAUGAACACGUGAAGCAGAGCCACCCACCAUCCUGGACCAUUCGCCUCCAGACUAUUAGAGACAGGGUUUCUCCAUGUUCCCCAAGCUGGUCUCAAACCUCUGAGCUCAAGCAAUCCUCCCGCCUCAGCCUUCCAAGGUGCUGGGAUUACAAGCGUGAGCCACUGCACCCAGCCCAAAUUCAUCUUUCAAGGAGGAUUUUUAGGUUUAUUAAUCAGCAAUCAUGGACUAGGAGUACCUCCUGCUCAAUCUAGGGAAGAGUAAUAGGAACAUGGAGUCACUUUUAAUCUGCAUGAAACUUCACUGGGGUUCAACUGCUUCAUCGGCAGAAGGAAUAAUUAGACAGAUGAUGAAGUCCCUUCUAGUGCUAAAACUUGGCUUCUUUGACACAAUCCACCAGAUUUCCAGGUUAGUGCCACAAACGUUCCCCAAGAGACUACUAGAGACCUCCUCUGUCGGGGUCAGGAUUGAAAUGAAAACAAGACACAGAUUCUGCUACUGAAGAACUCAUUAUCCUAUGGGUUAACGUGGAUUGAGAUCAACUUUCUCCUUUUGAUAUAAGAUAGUAAGGCACUAAGCUGGAGGUGUUUGGGAAGGAUUGACUAUAACAAUAAAAAUAUAAGGUACUAGAG